GACUGAGGGUGCAAACGUUGUUCGGAAUUACUGGGCGUAAAGCGCGUGUAGGCGGUCUCGCAAGUCGGAUGUGAAAGCCCAGGGCUCAACCCUGGAAGUGCACUCGAUACUGCGAGGCUAGAGUCCGGAGAGGAUCGGUGGAACUCUCGGGUGUAGAGGUGAAAUUCGUAAGAUAUCGAGAAGAACACCGGUGGCGAAGGCGGCCAUCUGGACGGUGACUGACGCUGAG
rnacentral:rRNA from 1 species